rnacentral:rRNA from 1 species
ACAAGCGGCGGAGCAUGUGGAUUAAUUCGAUGCAACGCGAAGAACCUUACCUGGGUUUGACAUAUACCGGAAAGCUGCAGAGAUGUGGCCCCCCUUGUGGUCGGUAUACAGGUGGUGCAUGGCUGUCGUCAGCUCGUGUCGUGAGGUGUUGGGUUAAGUCCCGCAACGAGCGCAACCCCUAUCUUAUGUUGCCAGCACGUUAUGGUGGGGACUCGUAAGAGACUGCCGGGGUCAACUCGGAGGAAGGUGGGGACGACGUCAAGUCAUCAUGCCCCUUAUGUCCAGGGCUUCACACAUGCUACAAUGGCCAGUACAGAGGGCUGCGAGACCGUGAGGUGGAGCGAAUCCCUUAAAGCUGGUCUCAGUUCGGAUCGGGGUCUGCAACUCGACCCCGUGAAGUCGGAGUCGCUAGUAAUCGCAGAUCAGUAACGCUGCGGUGAAUACGUUCCCGGGCCUU